CGGGACACGUGGUAUCCUGUCUGAAUAUGGGGGGACCAUCCUCCAAGGCUAAAUACUCCUGACUGACCGAUAGUGAACCAGUACCGUGAGGGAAAGGCGAAAAGAACCCCGGCGAGGGGAGUGAAAAAGAACCUGAAACCGUGUACGUACAAGCAGUGGGAGCACAGAGCAAUCUGUGUGACUGCGUACCUUUUGUAUAAUGGGUCAGCGACUUAUAUUCUGUAGCAAGGUUAACCGAAUAGGGGAGCCGAAGGGAAACCGAGUCUUAACUGGGCGUUAAGUUGCAGGGUAUAGACCCGAAACCCGGUGAUCUAGCCAUGGGCAGGUUGAAGGUUGGGUAACACUAACUGGAGGACCGAACCGACUAAUGUUGAAAAAUUAGCGGAUGACUUGUGGCUGGGGGUGAAAGGCCAAUCAAACCGGGAGAUAGCUGGUUCUCCCCGAAAGCUAUUUAGGUAGCGCCUCGUGAAUUCAUCUCCGGGGGUAGAGCACUGUUUCGGCAAGGGGGUCAUCCCGACUUACCAACCCGAUGCAAACUGCGAAUACCGGAGAAUGUUAUCACGGGAGACACACGGCGGGUGCUAACGUCCGUCGUGAAGAGGGAAACAACCCAGACCGCCAGCUAAGGUCCCAAAGUCAUGGUUAAGUGGGAAACGAUGUGGGAAGGCCCAGACAGCCAGGAUGUUGGCUUAGAAGCAGCCAUCAUUUAAAGAAAGCGUAAUAGCUCACUGGUCGAGUCGGCCUGCGCGGAAGAUGUAACGGGGCUAAACCAUGCACCGAAGCUGCGGCAGCGACGCUUAUGCGUUGUUGGGUAGGGGAGCGUUCUGUAAGCCUGCGAAGGUGUGCUGUGAGGCAUGCUGGAGGUAUCAGAAGUGCGAAUGCUGACAUAAGUAACGAUAAAGCGGGUGAAAAGCCCGCUCGCCGGAAGACCAAGGGUUCCUGUCCAACGUUAAUCGGGGCAGGGUGAGUCGACCCCUAAGGCGAGGCCGAAAGGCGUAGUCGAUGGGAAACAGGUUAAUAUUCCUGUACUUGGUGUUACUGCGAAGGGGGGACGGAGAAGGCUAUGUUGGCCGGGCGACGGUUGUCCCGGUUUAAGCGUGUAGGCUGGUUUUCCAGGCAAAUCCGGAAAAUCAAGGCUGAGGCGUGAUGACGAGGCACUACGGUGCUGAAGCAACAAAUGCCCUGCUUCCAGGAAAAGCCUCUAAGCAUCAGGUAACAUCAAAUCGUACCCCAAACCGACACAGGUGGUCAGGUAGAGAAUACCAAGGCGCUUGAGAGAACUCGGGUGAAGGAACUAGGCAAAAUGGUGCCGUAACUUCGGGAGAAGGCACGCUGAUAUGUAGGUGAAGUCCCUCGCGGAUGGA
rnacentral:rRNA from 1 species